AGUGAACGCUGGCGGCAGGCCUAACACAUGCAAGUCGAGCGGCAGCGCGUCCGACCACCCUCGGGUGGUCGGAUGGCGGCGAGCGGCGGACGGGUGAGGAAUGCAUCGGAAUCUGCCUCGUUGUGGGGGAUAACGUAGGGAAACUUACGCUAAUACCGCAUACGACCUACGGGUGAAAGUGGGGGACCUUCGGGCCUCACGCGAUGAGAUGAGCCGAUGCCGGAUUAGCUAGUUGGCGGGUAAAGGCCCACCAAGGCGACGAUCCGUAGCUGGUCUGAGAGGAUGAUCAGCCACACUGGAACUGAGACACGGUCCAGACUCCUACGGGAGGCAGCAGUGGGGAAUAUUGGACAAUGGGGGCAACCCUGAUCCAGCCAUGCCGCGUGUGUGAAGAAGGCCUUCGGG
rnacentral:rRNA from 1 species